rnacentral:rRNA from 1 species
UUUUAUGGAGAGUUUGAUCCUGGCUCAGGAUGAACGCUGGCGGCGUGCCUAAUACAUGCAAGUCGAGCGAACGGACGAGAAGCUUGCUUCUCUGAUGUUAGCGGCGGACGGGUGAGUAACACGUGGAUAACCUACCUAUAAGACUGGGAUAACUUCGGGAAACCGGAGCUAAUACCGGAUAAUAUUUUGAACCGCAUGGUUCAAAAGUGAAAGACGGUCUUGCUGUCACUUAUAGAUGGAUCCGCGCUGCAUUAGCUAGUUGGUAAGGUAACGGCUUACCAAGGCAACGAUGCAUAGCCGACCUGAGAGGGUGAUCGGCCACACUGGAACUGAGACACGGUCCAGACUCCUACGGGAGGCAGCAGUAGGGAAUCUUCCGCAAUGGGCGAAAGCCUGACGGAGCAACGCCGCGUGAGUGAUGAAGGUCUUCGGAUCGUAAAACUCUGUUAUUAGGGAAGAACAUAUGUGUAAGUAACUGUGCACAUCUUGACGGUACCUAAUCAGAAAGCCACGGCUAACUACGUGCCAGCAGCCGCGGUAAUACGUAGGUGGCAAGCGUUAUCCGGAAUUAUUGGGCGUAAAGCGCGCGUAGGCGGUUUUUUAAGUCUGAUGUGAAAGCCCACGGCUCAACCGUGGAGGGUCAUUGGAAACUGGAAAACUUGAGUGCAGAAGAGGAAAGUGGAAUUCCAUGUGUAGCGGUGAAAUGCGCAGAGAUAUGGAGGAACACCAGUGGCGAAGGCGACUUUCUGGUCUGUAACUGACGCUGAUGUGCGAAAGCGUGGGGAUCAAACAGGAUUAGAUACCCUGGUAGUCCACGCCGUAAACGAUGAGUGCUAAGUGUUAGGGGGUUUCCGCCCCUUAGUGCUGCAGCUAACGCAUUAAGCACUCCGCCUGGGGAGUACGACCGCAAGGUUGAAACUCAAAGGAAUUGACGGGGACCCGCACAAGCGGUGGAGCAUGUGGUUUAAUUCGAAGCAACGCGAAGAACCUUACCAAAUCUUGACAUCCUUUGACAACUCUAGAGAUAGAGCCUUCCCCUUCGGGGGACAAAGUGACAGGUGGUGCAUGGUUGUCAUCAGCUCGUGUCGUGAGAUGUUGGGUUAAGUCCCGCAACGAGCGCAACCCUUAAGCUUAGUUGCCAUCAUUAAGUUGGGCACUCUAAGUUGACUGCCGGUGACAAACCGGAGGAAGGUGGGGAUGACGUCAAAUCAUCAUGCCCCUUAUGAUUUGGGCUACACACGUGCUACAAUGGACAAUACAAAGGGCAGCGAAACCGCGAGGUCAAGCAAAUCCCAUAAAGUUGUUCUCAGUUCGGAUUGUAGUCUGCAACUCGACUACAUGAAGCUGGAAUCGCUAGUAAUCGUAGAUCAGCAUGCUACGGUGAAUACGUUCCCGGGUCUUGUACACACCGCCCGUCACACCACGAGAGUUUGUAACACCCGAAGCCGGUGGAGUAACCUUUUAGGAGCUAGCCGUCGAAGGUGGGACAAAUGAUUGGGGUGAAGUCGUAACAAGGUAGCCGUAUCGGAAGGUGCGGCUGGAUCACCUCCUUUCUAA